rnacentral:rRNA from 1 species
UGGGGAAUAUUGGACAAUGGGCGCAAGCCUGAUCCAGCCAUGCCGCGUGUGUGAAGAAGGCCUUUUGGUUGUAAAGCGCUUUAAGCGAGGAGGAGGCUACUUGGAUUAAUACUCUAGGAUAGUGGACGUUACUCGCAGAAUAAGCACCGGCUAACUCUGUGCCAGCAGCCGCGGUAAUACAGAGGGUGCGAGCGUUAAUCGGAUUUACUGGGCGUAAAGCGUGCGUAGGCGGCUUUUUAAGUCGGAUGUGAAAUCCCUGAGCUUAACUUAGGAAUUGCAUUCGAUACUGGGAAGCUAGAGUAUGGGAGAGGAUGGUAGAAUUCCAGGUGUAGCGGUGAAAUGCGUAGAGAUCUGGAGGAAUACCGAUGGCGAAGGCAGCCAUCUGGCCUAAUACUGACGCUGAGGUACGAAAGCAUGGGGAGCAAACAG